UUCUAUCGUUUGAAAGCACGUGUUACAUUUGUGCCAAUGCAGAAAACAGCUUUAUGGUACUCGUAUCAAAAUGAAGAGAACAACACAGAAUUCGAUUCCACCCGAGAAAAAGCAAAAUUUUUUUCUGCAAAAAGUAUCAUUUGAUUUACAACUAUACAGAUGUCCUCUGUAGAACUUCUUCAUCCUAGUCAAAAUGAGUGGGCAAUCAAAAGGUACCAUUGAGUUAUAGCUGAACAUCUGGUAAUUCUGCAAAGAUCUUCAAUUGAAUUUUCGCAUCCACAUUACUUGCUGAUCACUGAAAGACAUUCUUGAUUUCGAAAGAUCCCAUUACCCAAAAGAAAUCCUAAUACUCAUAAAUUUUCAAAAUAGUGUUGGUUGCUAGUUGAUUAGAGAUUCAACAAAUUCAAGACGGUGGAGGCAUUGAACAAACAGGUUCUGCUAAACAUACAUCAGACUAGGAUGAACAUCUUGAGGUGAAAACUGUUGUGUUUUAAUUUCUGUGAAUCUCAAAGAGUUUUUCAGUUAGCUUUACAUUUUCUUUCAUUUGGGAGCAAAAAAGGUAGCCAAGUCACUGGUUGUAGGGUUUCCUACGAAAGCAUUUUACUUCGAUGACAAACGUUAUCGAAUGAGUGAAAAAAUGUUGCCACACCAGUUUUAUUCGCACACAUCUUUCGUUGAAGCCCCAAAGAUCUACUCACGAAAUGCCACGUUUUUUCACAAUGAAGCCGGCCGAAGCACGGAUUCCCGUCCGGUGAUGACUUCAUCCCAUAGCGAUGCUGUUGUGUCGGCAGAGCCUAAGAAUAACAAUUAUUAUUACGUCGUAACUUUGAGACAUAUGAAGACCCCAGCACCUGAACAAUUGGAGGUUAUGGGUGGUUGAGGAUCAGUUUCCAUCUCGUCCGGGUACAGUCGGCGAUGCGCUCUUCUUGGUGAUUGAACAAGGAAAACAAGUCUGCUUCAAACAUACUUUAUUCCGCUAUCAAGAUAGCUCGUGGAGCUGUCAUAUAGUGACUUUCGGUUGUGUAUCGGUCUCAGUUGGGAAACAACAAAGCAAACAGGAAGAGUACAAUGACAGGCCAUUACUACUACGAAAGACCCUGUCACAGUGGAUAUUUGAAUUCCUAUGGCUACUCUGGCACUUCUUUGUUGCCCUAUACAUCAUCACUGCGCAGUACGUACAUGCCGGCGUCCUAUUGGAGCACGUAUCGCCCGUCCAUCUAUUCGUCAUAUCCACGCGUCUCAAUCUACUCGGUGCCUUCGACCCCCCGAGCGCUGACGUAUCACGCGGCGAUCCCUAGAAUCGCUCACCACCGCUUAUGGGACGUAUCCGCAUCGCCGAUGGUUUCGACACGAGAGCGUCUGUUACGAUACUCUGCUCUCUACGGUGACGAUGACGAUGUAGAAGCCAUCUUGACUCAGGGACAAAAAUACAACCCUGUCUCAUCGCUGGAAAGUACCUUCUCCAACACUAUACAAGACAUUGAAGACGAUAUACGAAAUUGGCGUUACGCAGCGUCAUCUGUGCUCAACCGUUUUACAACAGGGAAACCGUCAAACGUGGAACUGUCAACGCUGGCCAACCGCUACUCGUCCGACUACGUUAGCGGAAAUAACAAUUAUUGGAGAGGCAGCUCCAGUUCGUACUACCGGCCAACGACGUUGAAGUCUUUUCAAUACUCGAACUUUAAGGCUCCGAUUUACGAUUCGGGUCGCUCCAUGUAUGUCUCCAGUCGUUCAAAGGAUUGGGAUUCAUCGAAAAGCACAUUUGGAUUGGAAACCCACCUUAGUUGCAUAAUAAUCAACUAAAAAUGCAUAGUAACCUAAUAAAAUACCUACAAUCAGAUGGCGACGAACUUCUCCAUGUACAGGUCUUUCCCAGGACAUCUGACUUGGAUGCCACCGGAAAAA
rnacentral:misc_RNA from 1 species